rnacentral:rRNA from 1 species
GACGAACGCUGGCGGCGUGCUUAACACAUGCAAGUCGAACGGUAAGGCUCCAGCUUGCUGGGGUACACGAGUGGCGAACGGGUGAGUAACACGUGGGUGACCUGCCCUGCACUUCGGGAUAAGCCUGGGAAACUGGGUCUAAUACCGGAUAGGACCGCACCGUGAGGGUGUGGUGGAAAGUUUUUUCGGUGUGGGAUGGGCCCGCGGCCUAUCAGCUUGUUGGUGGGGUAAUGGCCUACCAAGGCGGCGACGGGUAGCCGGCCUGAGAGGGUGGACGGCCACAUUGGGACUGAGACACGGCCCAGACUCCUACGGGAGGCAGCAGUGGGGAAUAUUGCACAAUGGGCGGAAGCCUGAUACAGCGACGCCGCGUGGGGGAUGACGGCCUUCGGGUUGUAAACUCCUUUCACCAUCGACGAAGGGUUUCUGACGGUAGAUGGAGAAGAAGCACCGGCUAACUACGUG